rnacentral:tRNA from 1 species
GGAAGCGGAUGGAAACUGGUGUUUUCAACAGUCUUCAAAACUGUCUGGCGGUGAAAAUCGUUGGUAGGUUCGAUUCCUACACGCUUCCGCCA